UGAACAUGGUUUUUUGAUUACUAGUCCGGUGUCAUCAGAUUGCUCCAAGUUUUUAAUUCUAUGUAAUCUUCGUAUUCAUUAAUGAAGAUAUCUUUUGAUAAAAAAAAUAAUAAUUAAAAACUUUGGGUGUAGAUAUUGGGGUUGUCCCGUAAUAUUCCUUGGGCUGUCGUGAAUAUGAACGUAUGAAACUUAAAACUAAAAGCCCAAAACCACAGCACCAAUCAUUUCUCAGGCCGAACCUGUCGAUCAAAAACACUUUUGAGGAAGCUCAGUUCAGCUCCCAAACAAUGGCGACCCCAAAGAAAGCCACACCCCCGAAGAAAACCAAAGAAACCAAGAAGCCAAGCACCAAAAUCAGCAAACCCAGCAGCACCCAGAAGAAAGAAGACAACAAAACCAAAAAGAAAACCAGCAAUGGCACCGCCGCGGCUGCGAAAUCCCCGAGCUCAAAGUCUCAGAAGAGCAGAGCGCAAAAUGGGGCCAAAACUACGAAACCACCCACCCCGAAAUCCAAGCAGAACGGAAAGCGAGUCAAAGAGGAAGAGGUCGACGAGAAAGAGGAUGUGAAGUCUUAUACUUUUCCGAUGGAGCGGGUUAAGAGGAUUGUAAGGGAAGAUGAUUCCGACUUGCGCAUUAGCUCUGACGCCGUUUUUCUAAUCAACAAAGCCACCGAGAAGUUUCUGGAGAAGUUUUCUGAAGAUGCCCAUAAAUGUUGUGUUAGGGAUCGCAAGAAGGCUCUUGCUUACAAGCACCUAUCCUCAGUCGUUGGCAAAAUGAAGAGAUAUGAGUUUCUUUCAGAUUUUGUUCCUGAGAAAAUAAAAGCCGGGGAUGCAUUGGCAAAGAGAAAACAAGUUCAAGACGGAACAAGCUAGGAGUUGCAGAACAUGACGAGUGGAGACUACUGACAAGUUGAAAAUUUUCACCUGUGUUGUAUGCAUUUGUUGUAUACAUGUUCAAAUGUAUUAAGCUUGCAUAGGUUCAUAUCUUGAAUCAUGCACCUUUUUGGUUGGAAGAUCAAAAUUUGCUCUACUACAGAAAGUUCGGUUUUAGGAUGUUUUCAGUUAGAUGGAUCAUAGAAGAUGCUGGUGGAAGAGCAGUCGAUGUGUAAUUGUAGGUGGUUGAUUGUGGAACCAGCUCAUUUCUCUUGUGCACUCUCCAGCACCCGUUUCUUGGGGCCGUGGUUGGUGUUUUGCCAGUGACCACUAUGUAGUUGUUUUCAUGUUUGCUUUGCCAUGUAUG